GAUGAAGAACGUAGCGAAAUGCGAUAAGUAAUGUGGAUUGCAGAAUUCAGUGAAUCAUCGAAUCUUUGAACGCACAUUGCGCCCGCCAGUAUUCUGGCGGGCAUGCCUGUUCGAGCGUCAUUUCAACCAUCAAGCCCCCGGCUUGUGUUGGGGACCUGCGGCUGCCGCAGGCCCUGAAAACCAGUGGCGGGCUCGCUAGUCACUCCGAGCGUAGUAAUACAUCUCGCUCAGGGCGUGCUGCGGGUUCCGGCCGUUAAAAAGCCUUAUUUACCCAAGGUUGACCUCGGAUCAGGUAGGAAGACCCGCUGAACUUAAGCAUAUCAAUAAGCGGAGGA
rnacentral:misc_RNA from 1 species